GAAGAAAUUAAUCAAUGUCAGCACAAUUGUCCUUCCUGUAAAUGGAACAGGAAGUAUAUGUAAUCAAGGAAAAAACCCUCCUUUGGGAGCCUUAUCUGAAAGAAAGAAAAAGCUUUCUGCAAAGAACAAUGUCUAAACAGCAAAAGAUCCAAAGAUAGUGUUUUUGCUCUUUAAUAUGCAAAAGACUCCAUAGAUGAGAUCCAGGUGAUGUCAUUCAAGCCAGCUUUCCCACUAAGCUUAAGAACAAAGGUAGUCAAUAAUUACAUUGUAUUUUUAAAUGGACAGUGCCAUCUCAUGGGCACCAUAAAUAUCUUUCAGAAGUCAACAAGCAAACAAUUGCUUAACCAUUAUUCUCUCCACUGGAUACCAAAUCCAUUUUAAGCCUUCUGAUUUAACUAUCAAGCAAGCAAAAACACUGAUAUUUGAGACUGGUCUCCUCGCAAUACAAUCCUGGGCUUUUCUACUGAGAAAUAAGUCCCAAUGAGUUCUACAGGACUUACUCCCAGACAAGGAUGCAUAGGAUCGCAAUGUAAGCAUUUUUCCCAAUAUGCAUGGUAUUGCACAUAUGGCAUGGCACUUUUACCCAGGUUGUAGGAUUCUUCCCUCCACCCCACCCCACCCCACCCCAAGCACUGCUGCCUAUCUUUUGAUGUUUCCAAAGCAGCCAGACUGUUCAAAUGCUCCACUCUGGCCUGCCACAAACACAACCAAAGGAAGCACAUGCAGAAUUCAGCUACAGGAAGCUAGACUUAAAUGUUACACUCCAGCCUCCUAUAGUUGAAACUUUAUAUAUGCUCACGCAUUAGGCUAUCUGUGCCAGAACAAACAGCUUUAGUUUGGAUGGUACAGUCAAGCAGUCAGAUUGUUUUUGUGGCUUAAAAGAGUUGAACUGAUCUUCUGUAGCUAGGCAGCAUUCAAGCAAUUUAAUCUUGAAAUAAAGUAUUGAAAAAAGUCAUAGGAAGCAAUGAGGAACAAGCAAAGGACAUACACAGUUAAUACCAUCAAUCGUGAAAAGUCACUAAUAACCUAAAUGAAUUCAGUUGGGGCAGCCCCUUUUACUAGGGACUAUUUAAUAAGCUUUCUGGCUCAGAGAGACUUUAAGUCCAACUAGUUCAUAUUCUAGAUUCCUCAAGAGACCAUAAUGUUUUAAGAGUACUCAGAUUGUUUUUAUCUGUUUUGUACUUUUAUUCUCAGUUGUUUAUAUUAACAUCUUAUACAUUUUAAGAAAUAUACUGAACUGUACUGUUUCAUUUUGGAACGCGUCAGAAUUAAACAGGUGCAGGAUAUCCCAUUUAGGGCAACGUUUGGACUAUGAAAUCUACCACAUCAGUUAGUCAGUCAGUCAGUCUUUCUUUCUGAUUCAUGAGAAGUAAACUGUAAGUUUGGGUAUGACAGUUCAAAUGCAAGCCUUUGAACUGGCUAGGCUUGCUUCUAGAUAAACCUGAAGAGGACUGGACUAUCAGUGUACUAUUUUAACCACUAUCCAAAUACCAAUCUGUAACUUGAUUUCCUUUCUGUUUAGGACCUGCGGAGACAAAAUACACCCAUUAUCCAGGAAACACAGAGUUAAAGGCAAAUGCAGGGCAACACCUAACAAGGAGCAAAAGGAGAAAUGAGUGUGAGUCCUCCCCAGGGGCACCCAGAUGUUGUGGUUUGCUUCUGCAUUCCUUGUGUUCACUGUUCAUUUCUUUCCAAUUUUAAUCAAAGGACAGGUGCAAUCCAUUCUGGUGUCAAACCCCUCCCUGAGGAUCAGACACAAUUUCUCUUCAGUUAGCCUUCCAGCCUCUGCCCAACCUCAGCCUCUCCCUACAACCCUGACAUUUACAAAGGAAAUAAGGAGUGUUAUAAGACAGAGCCACUUUCUGAGAGGAGGAAAUGAAGCCCAUUGGCCCUUGCUUGUGUACAAGUCCUCAGCGUACUCUUUAGGAGCAAGGAGAGAAUUUGCCUGCAUGUCAAGGGAUUCCACGUAACCCCAGGGGUUGUGAAUGCAGAGCAAGAAUGGUCAGCUGCUAGUUCUGGAACCGUAGAAGGACUUCGGCAUCUAAGCCCUUUUCAGGACUAACGAGCAGGGCAGAAUAUUAGGCCCCGUGCCUGCCCGUUGCAGUCCUGUGCCAAAAGGGAAGCUCACACCAAAUCGUCGACUUCAAGGGACUUUCUACUUGUCAAAGCUCCGAUCCUCCCCCCAAGCUCUGGCGACCAAUCUCUACCCUUCUCCCAAAUUUCAGAGUUUUCACGUGCAUGUGACACCACGGGCUCCGUUCCAAGAGAUUAUGCCACCAUAAAGCCCUUCGCCCGUACGGUGCCUCCGGACUCGCGUGUUUCCGGUGAACAUCUGGAAAGGGAAAGAAGGGCUCUCUUGGCCCACGAACACCCGCUCCAGCGGCAGCCAAAGGGUUAACAACCUGCCAAGGAAGGUUACGUCAUAGCCACCUAACAUGAGCCCUUCCCCCAUUGCCUUCACCCCGACUUUGCCCGGCUUUCCAUUGGUCAGGGCUCCCGCCAGUCAUUGAGUAGGCCCACACAUAACAACACUGCGGCGGUAGCCUUAAAGGAGCAGCGACCCUGCUAAAGUCCAGAUUAUGCCACUGUUUCAAGCACUGGUACUGAACUAUAAAGCUCAAGAUUCAUCUGCCCAAAUGUCCUGUUCAUCAUAGGAAGUUCUUCUCUGACACCUUCAAAUAUUUAAAGUCAGUUUUUCAACUGAAUGUGACCUGAAGAAAGAACUUUUUCCAUUUCUCCCCUAAAUUGGAAACUAUGGGCAGAGGCUUUCAAAGUGACGGAGCAAUGUAUAAAAGAAAAGAAUAACACCAGUAUAGUACGGUCUUCCUCAACCUGGUGUAGGCCAAAUGUUUUGUAUAUUGGUGAAGGCCAAGCUAUCAUGAAAUUACAGAGGUUGAAAUUUCUGGGGGUCAUCGGAAAAAGAUUGCUGCUGUUGCAACUCAGAAUUAAUAUCCCCAUUGCUUUAA